GGGCACGAUUGCUCCUUCAUACAUACGUCAUCACGUCGUAAUACGAUAAUACGUCAUCACCAAGCGUCCUCGCCGCCAUAACAACGAUGGAGAACAACAACGUGAAUGCUGUCGUCGGCCCAAAUUUCAAGUGGGGACCAACAUGGUGGAGUACAUUCAUCAAUCCGAGAGGAGUCAACCAAGUCCUCAUAUUCUGUGCCUCGGAGAUGAAUUUAAGACAAGUCAAGCAUGUACACGAGUGAGGGAGGGUGUAAAAUACUUUCAAUAAAUCCAUAUUUAAAUGCAAAUUUACAGUGGUCUAAUUGUGUUUGUAUGAGUAUGUGAAAUUAUUUGAGAUUGCACAAUCAUUUAUAUUUUGUUUAUAUUUUAUAUCUGUAUAGCCUACUAGGUAUAACAAUAUAAUAAACAGGCAACAAUAACUAAA
ensembl:lncRNA